rnacentral:rRNA from 1 species
GCUUGAGGCGAAAUCACCCAGACCCCAGUCUCGUCAAAUCUCACAGGCUAAGCAGGGUUGAGCCUGGACAGCACUUGGAUGGGUGAUUAGCGUGCAUAAAACAGGUUGCUAUUGGCU